AUGAUUAUCCUGUGAACUUAGGACAUGUUUGGAUCACUUAUUUUAAAUUAUAAAAUCGAAAUGAAAUUCAUUGAUUCCAAUUAUUAUUGUUUGCUUUAUAGGAAUCGAAUUUUGAAUUUCAUUUCACUUUGAAAUGGAAAUGAUACAAUUCGGCUUUGAAUCUUGGAUUGGCCAAUUUUAAAAUAAACUACUUAAAAUCUUUCUUCAUCAACGCCUCCUCUUCUCCCUUCGUUGCUUUUUCUAUUUCUUAAUUAAAAUCAUCUCUCAAAAAUUUUAAAUUUUUAUUCCGAUUUUCAUUCUAAUAAUAAACCAAAUAUUUGUAAAUGUUUCUUCGUCAUUCCAAUUUUUUUUGGAAAAACUUCAAAAAUCCUCCUUGUGGUUUCACACUUUCUUAUUUUAGUACACUGUGGUUUAAAGUGUAUCAAGUUAGUACCCUGUGGUUUCUCACUUUAUCAUUUUAGUACCCUGUGGUUUUACACUUUAUCACUUUAGUAUCCUGUGGUUUCACACUUUAGUAUCCUGUGAUUUAAAAAACCACAUGAUACUAACUUGAUACAAAAUUAAAAUCACAGAGUACUAAAGUGAUAAAGUGCAAAAUCACAGGGUACUAACUUGAUACACUUUAAACCACAGGGUACUAAAGUGAUAAAGUAAGAAACCACAGGGUACUAACUUGAUACAUUUUAAACCACAUGUUAUUAAAGUGAAAAAAAUUGAAACUACAAGGGAGGUUUUUGAAGUUUUCUCAUUUUUUUUCAAAGCAAUCUAAUUUUAUAUUUUAUUUUUAUUUCAAUUAUGAACCAAACAUGCCUUU
rnacentral:lncRNA from 1 species